GAUCAUGGCUCAGGAUGAACGCUAGCGACAGGCUUAACACAUGCAAGUCGAGGGGCAGCGGGGAGUAGCAAUACUCUGCCGGCGACCGGCGCACGGGUGAGUAACACGUAUCCAACCUGCCGAUAACUCGGGGAUAACCCUUCGAAAGAAGGCCUAAUACCCGAUGGCAUAUCCCUUCCGCCUGGUUGGGAUAUUAAAGAACUUCGGUUAUCGAUGGGGAUGCGUUCCAUUAGCUUGUUGGAGGGGUAACGGCCC
rnacentral:rRNA from 1 species